rnacentral:lncRNA from 1 species
GCCUUAGCGAGGCCAUGGGGGAAAAAGUCUAACUGGCGGAACUCCUGGGAACUGGGGCGAUGGGCUCUUAGUAUCGGAGGAUUGGAGCCAUCUGAUUUUUACCUGAAAUUCCUUAGUCUCUCCUGUGUUGGGGAAAUGAGACCGGGACUUGCUGUGUUGCCCAGGCUGGUCUUGAACUCCUGGUCUUAAGCAAUCAUACUGCUUUGGCCACCCAAAGCACUGGGAUUACAGGCGUGAACCACCACACCCAGCUCUUAAAACCACAGUAUUUCUAGAGACAGCAUCUCGUAUGUUGCCCAGGCUGGCCUUGAAAGCCUGGCCUCAAGCCAUCUUCCUGCCUCAGCCUCCCAAGUAGCUGGGAUCACAGGGUUGUGGCAUCACAGCUGGCUAUAUUCUUAACAUUAUUUUGUAACCAUUCCAACCCCCAGAAAUUUCUCUCUGGCUGACUUGAUCCACAGCGCCUCCAUCGCCAUCCCUGAGUGCCUUGUUGUGGAAAAUCUUACUUUAUCUUGGUUCUGUUUGGUAUAAUCGGGGAAAGUCUGUAUUCUUUCAUUAUGUAAAACAACUUAUCUCUCAUUGUUUCAUCUCCUUUCUGAGCUCUGCUCUGCCAGCUCUCUUUCCAAAACCAAAAUGGCUCUUCAAGUUAUUUUGUAAAUAAUAAUGGGCCAUCUACUUCUUAACAUAAAUGAAUG